rnacentral:rRNA from 1 species
UACGUAGGGUGCGAGCGUUGUCCGGAAUUAUUGGGCGUAAAGAGCUCGUAGGCGGUUUGUCGCGUUGUCCGUGAAAUUCUCUGGCUUAACUGGGGGCGUGCGGGCGAUACGGGCAGACUGGAGUACUGCAGGGGAGACUGGAAUUCCUGGUGUAGCGGUGGAAUGCGCAGAUAUCAGGAGGAACACCGGUGGCGAAGGCGAGUCUCUGGGCAGAAACUGACGCUGAGGCACGAAAGCGAGGGGAGCAAACGGG